rnacentral:rRNA from 1 species
UACGGAGGGUGCAAGCGUUAUCCGGAAUCACUGGGUUUAAAGGGUGCGUAGGCGGCUAUGUAAGUCAGUUGUGAAAUACCUCGGCUUAACCGAAGGAAGUGCGAUUGAUACUGCGUAGCUUGAAUCAGGUUGAGGUAGGCGGAAUGUGACAUGUAGCGGUGAAAUGCUUAGAUAUGUCAUAGAACACCGAUUGCGAAGGCAGCUUACUGGGCUUUGAUUGACGCUGAGGCACGAAAGCUAGGGUAGCGAACGGG